rnacentral:rRNA from 1 species
AACGAACGCUGGCGGCAUGCCUAACACAUGCAAGUCGAACGAUGCCUUCGGGCUUAGUGGCGCACGGGUGCGUAACGCGUGGGAAUCUUCCUUUCGGUUCGGACUAACUCAGGGAAACUUGAGCUAAUACCGGAUAACGUCGCAAGACCAAAGAUUUAUCACCGAAAGAUGAGCCCGCGUAGGAUUAGCUAGUUGGUGAGGUAAAGGCUCACCAAGGCGACGAUCCUUAGCUGGUCUGAGAGGAUGAUCAGCCACACUAGGACUGAGACACGGCCCAGACUCCUACGGGAGGCAGCAGUGGGGAAUAUUGAACAAUGGGCGAAAGCCUGAUCCAGCAAUGCCGCGUGAGUGAUGAAGGCCUUAGGGUUGUAAAGCUCUUUUACCCGGGAAGAUAAUGACGGUACCGGGAGAAUAAGCCCCGGCUAACUCCGUG